CCUACGGGGGGCAGCAGUGAGGAAUAUUGGUCAAUGGGCGAGAGCCUGAACCAGCCAAGUCGCGUGAGGGAGUACUGCCCUAUGGGUUGUAAACCUCUUUUGUCGGGGAGCAAAAGCCGGACGUGUCCGGCUGUGAGAGUAACCGAAGAAAAAGCAUCGGCAAACCCCGUGCCAGCAGCCGCAGUUAUACGGGGGAUGCGAGCGUUAUCCGGAUUUUUUGGGUUUAAAGGGUGCGCAGGCGGAUUUUUAAGUCAGCGGUAAAAUCGUGGGGCUCAACCCCAUCCAGCCGUUGAAACUGGGGAUCUAGAGUGUGCGAGAGGUAUGCGGAAUGCGUGGUGUAGCGGUGAAAUGCAUAGAUAUCACGCAGAACCCCGAUUGCGAAGGCAGCAUACCGGUGCACAACUGACGCUCAGGCACGAAAGCGUGGGUAUCGAACAGGAUUAGAUACCCCAGUAGUC
rnacentral:rRNA from 1 species